rnacentral:sRNA from 1 species
GCCACCACGCCUGGCUAAUUUUUGUGUUUUUAGUACAGACAUGGUUUCACCAUGUUGGCCAGGAUGAUCUCGAUCUCUUGACCUCGUGAUCUGCCUGCCUCGGCCUCCCAAAGUGCUGGGAUUACAGGUGUGAGCCACCUUGCCCGAUCUCAGAGCCUGUUUUCCAUCUGUUGAAAGCAUAGGAGGGCCCAGGCCCAGCUUGUGUGGCAAGGCUGCUUCAUGGAUAAAUAGUUUGCGUUGGAAGGUGCAGAGGAUAAGGAGGCACUGCUGAUUGAAGACACACUCAGCAACCACACGGAUCUGACAGACAAUGAUCCAGUCACCUAUGUGGUCCAGAAGCAGUUUAUGAGACAGCUGAGUGCCCUGUCCUCAGAUGGGGAGGGACAGGGUCGGCCUGUACCCCGGAGGCACCUGGGUCCAUCAGAGAAGGUGCAGGUGACAGAGGCGAAGGCAGAUGGGGCACUGACCCAGGAGGAGAAAGCAGCCAUUGGUACUGUGGAGCUCAGUGUGUUCUGGGAUUAUGCCAAGGCCGUGGGGCUCUGUACCACGCUGGCCAUCUGUCUCCUGUAUGUGGGUCAAAGUGCGGCUGCCAUUGGAGCCAAUGUGUGGCUCAGUGCCUGGACAAAUGAUGCCAUGGCAGACAGUAGACAGAACAACACUUCCCUGAGGCUGGGCGUCUAUGCUGCUUUAGGAAUUCUGCAAGGGCUCUUGGUGA